rnacentral:rRNA from 1 species
UACGUAGGGGCCGAGCGUUGUCCGGAGUUAUUGGGCGUAAAGCGCGCGCAGGCGGCUUCGCGCGUCCGACGUGAAAGCCCCCGGCUUAACCGGGGAGGGUCGUUGGGUACGGCGGAGCUUGAGGGCGGGAGAGGGUGGUGGAAUUCCCGGAGUAGUGGUGAAAUGCGUAGAGAUCGGGAGGAACACCUGUGGCGAAGGCGGCCACCUGGGCCGACCCUGACGCUGAGGCGCGAAGGCGUGGGGAGCGAACGGG